rnacentral:rRNA from 1 species
GACGAACGCUGGCGGCGUGCUUAACACAUGCAAGUCGAGCGGUAAGGCCCUUUCGGGGGUACACGAGCGGCGAACGGGUGAGUAACACGUGGGUGACCUGCCCUCAGCUCUGGGAUAAGCCCGGGAAACUGGGUCUAAUACCGGAUAUGACUCCAUGACGCAUGUUGUGGGGUGGAAAGCCUUGUGCGGCUAGGGAUGGGCCCGCGGCCUAUCAGCUUGUUGGCGGGGUGAUGGCCUACCAAGGCGACGACGGGUAGCCGGCCUGAGAGGGCGACCGGCCACACUGGGACUGAGACACGGCCCAGACUCCUACGGGAGGCAGCAGUGGGGAAUUUUGCGCAAUGGGCUAACGCCUGACGCAGCAACGCCGCGUGGAGGAUGAAGGUCCUUGGAUUGUAAACUCCUGUCAGCAGGGAAAAAGCGACUCGGGUGAAUACCCCGGGGAGUUGAUUGUACCUGCAGAGGAAGCCCCGGCUAACUCUGUGCCAGCCGCCGCUGUAAG